rnacentral:rRNA from 1 species
UACAGAGGUCUCAAGCGUUGUUCGGAAUUACUGGGCGUAAAGGGUGCGCAGGCCGCGCGGGCAGUCAAAUGUGUAAUUCAGGGGCUCAACCCCUGCACUGCGCUUGAUACUUCCGUGCUCGAACCUUGGAGAGGAGUCUGGAAUUCUCGGUGUAGCAGUGAAAUGCGUGGAUAUCGAGAAGAACACCUAGGGCGAAAGCAAGACUCUGGACAAGUGUUGACGCUCAUGCACGAAGGCUAGGGAAGCGAACGGG